GCCGGAGUAGCUCAGCUGGCUAGAGCGCGUGAUUUGUAAUCACGAGGUCGCGGGUUCGACCCCCGCCUCCGGCU
rnacentral:tRNA from 1 species